GCAUCAUCAUUAAUGCAGUUUGUCUUUCUGCUCUACUUUUUAUCAUCUUCUAAAUAAAUCCAAACUCCUUAACAUGUUAUAGUCUCUUUCUGCAGGUCCAGAAUCAUUUCCUCUCCCUGCCCACAAGAUCCUUCCCUGACCGGCACUCAUUCUCUAGUUCCCUAAGAGCAUCACACUCUCACCUCUCCCUGAUUUUGUACAUGCUGUUCUUCUAUGCCAAAAAAUCUCAUCCUUCCUUUCAUUCUUGGAUAAUUCCUCUCAAGCAUCUGCUCUUUUUGGAAUCCUUUCUGGAUCUUCACAGGCUGAGUCAAAUGUUCUCCACUAGAACUCUCUCUAUGAUAAUACUUAGUAAACUGUGCCCAACUUCCUCUUUAUACCAGAGUAAUGGUGGAGCCUGAAGCUGUGGUGGCAGCUUCUUGAUUCUGUAGCUUCCUGACUAGAGCUAGAGCUGGAACAGGAGGUGGGCAGAGUGUGCAUGUGGCUGCAGGGUAAGGGUCAAAGAAUGAAACCCUGAUCCUACAACCAGGCUGAUCUGAGAACAAGAUAAGACCAAGAGUCAUAUUCUAGAUGAAAGGUCAGAAACAGAGAAGAGAUAAGAAGUCGUUUGUGGGUACAAGAGGCAGACCCUCAGAAGACUUCAGAGGCAGAGGGAUGUCAGAGGUAACAUAAGGUGGAAAAAGUGAUUGGAAUCCAGAAAGCUGUAUUGCUGGUUUUACUUGUCUUUCACCAUUCUUCACCCCCAUCCACAGCUUAAACACAGACUUCCAUUACUGAAUCUCCACUGCCUACAAUGGGGCCUGCCACACAGUAGGUAGGAAACAAUAUCUGUUGAAUUGAGCCCUAUUAACCAUCAUUUAAAGAACAUUCUUUAAAACCUCUCACAAAGGAUACUUUUCUAGGAAACCCUCCCUAAUCCCCACGGAAAAGAAUUCUGUUCUUACAAAUACUUGUGGUAUGCUUUUUGGUAUCUCUCAUUCUCUUUCAGUGUUCUGCCUUGUGUUAUGCGUGUUUGGAUGUCUCCUAUGUUUUUCUGUGUAUCCACUCUAGGGGCAAGAUCACUGUCUGAAUCAUCUUUGAAGAUCCUAGUAGAAGUGUCACACAUUUUGUGUGAGUCCUUAGUGACUGCUGUGCAUUGCUCCUAUUUUCUAUAGUUCUGAUUUGCUUUAGUCCUCAUUCUCACAUAAUGGAGAUAAUGACAUAGAAAGAAAAAAAACAAGCUUUUGUAGAAUCCAAAAGUCUACUCCAAUGUCUUCAAAGAACAAGCAAAGGAAAUAAAUAUAUAAUCUUUUACUAAAGUUACUUUAAAAAUCAGAGAGUAUUCUUCUGUGCAAGAUAGGUUUUUGUUUUAACCUAGCUAUCAUGAUUGUCCGGUAUUGCUUUACUUUGACUAUGUAGCUCUGAUGUGUGGUAUGUUUUCGAAUUUAAAAUUAGAAACCCACGUACCACUUACACCCUGCUCCUCUGAUUCAAGUGUGACUCAUUGUAACUAAGAACUGAUGGUAAAAUAACAACAACAACAAAACCCCAAAUCAUCUGGGUUUGGUAUGUGCCAGAGGGUAAUGUGUGCGCAUGUAUGUUCUCAUACAUCUGUAAUUAUAUACUGAUCACCUAUUUAUGUUUAUUUUAGAAUUAACGAAGAGUAAAGGAGAAUUGAUUGAAAUAUUUAUUUAGAUGGAGUUCUAGUACUGAGCUAACACUAUAGUCAUUAGCUACAUAUUGCUAUUGAGCACUUGAAACAUGGUAUACUGAAUUGAAAUGUGCUAUUAGUUUCACAUUUUUACUUUUUUUCAUGUGACUACUAGAAAAUUUUAAAGUACAAGUGUGGCAUGCCUUAUAUUUCUGUAGGAUAGCAUUGGUUUGGUAUAUGCUAUAAUUUGGCUACUUUUACCAUAGAAACAUUGCAAAGGUGUUGUGAAAAAAAUUCCACUCUAGUAAUGGAGAUAAACUAUUGAUAGUCUACUGUGCUGCAGGCGCUGAGAUUUUACAUGAACUAUUUCAUUUAAUUCUCCCCAAAUCUUAUUAGAUAGUUGUUUUCCCUAUUUUAAGAUAAGUAGUCUGGGGUUCAAAAAGGUUAAGAAAAUUUCCUACAAGUCCAUGAUCAGACAGCUAGCAAUCUGCAAAACAUACUCAUAUCCACUUGUCACUAGAGAUCAUUCUCUUUUUGCUGAAGAACACUUUCUUUCCUCUGUCUUUCCUUUGCCUUAUGCUACCUGAAAUUUUUAUUGUUUUUAUAUUUAUUUAUUUAUUUGAUUGUGUUGGGUCUUAGUUGUGGCAGGCAGCCUCCUUAGUUGUGGCAUGCGAACUCUUAGUUGCGGCAUGCGUAUGGGAUCUAGUUCCCAGACCAGGGAUCGAACCCGGGCCCCCUGCAUUUGGAGCACGGAGUCUUAACCAUAGUGUCACCAGGGAAGACCCUGAAAUUCUAAUAACACCCACGAUCGUGAAGUCUCACUAGCCUGUUACUUCAAAAUAGGGUCAUAUUUCCUUUUUUACCCAAAUGAAAAUAACGUAAGUCCCUCACAAGCCAAAUUAUCAGGAAUUCCAGUCUUUUCCCAUGAUUCCCCUCCUCAUAUAAUCAUAAAUGACCCAGGCUUAUUUACUAAUGCCUGAGAAUUGAUCCAUUUGUCUGUGGAUUGACAAUAGAGCGACAGCUCAUACACUCUUGAGGCUAGAGGCCUGUCUAGAGAAGGGUUAAUUCAGUGACAGGGUUGUGUUAGUUUCCUAUUACCUUGUAACAACUUACCAUUGGUGGCUUAAAACAACACCCGUUAACAAAUACCAUAUGCUAACACAUAUAUAUGGAAUCUAAAUAAAAAGGUUCUGAAGAACCUAGGGGCAGGACAGGAAUAAAGAUGCAGACGUAGAGAAUGGACUUGAGGACACGGGGAGGGGGAAGGGUAAGCUGGGACAAAGUGAGAGAGUGGCAUGGACAUAUAUACACUACCAAACGUAAAAUAGAUAGCUAGUGGGAAGCAGCCGCAUAGCACAGGGAGAUCAGCUUGGUGCUUUGUGACCACCUAGAGGGGUGGGAUAGGGAGGGUGGGAGGGAGGGAGACACAAGAGGGAGGAGAUAUGGGGAUAUAUGUAUAUGUAUAGCUGAUUCACUUUGUUGUACAGGAGCAACUAACACACCCUUGUGAAGCAAUUAUACUCCAGUAAAGAUGUUAAAACGACAACAACAACAACACCCAUUUAUUAGCUCAUAUUAUCUGUAGGUCAGAAGUCCAGCAUGGCUUUGCUGAAUUCUCUGCUCACAUUAUCACAUGGCUGAAAUCAAGAUGCCUGCAAGUUUGAGUUCUCAUCUUGAUACCUUGGCGGGGGGGAGGGAAAUCUGUUUCAAAGCACAUUUUUGUUGUUGGCAGAAUUCAGUUCCUUAUGGGUAUAGGACUUAGGUUUCUGCUUCCUUGCUGGCUGUCAGCCAGAGGCUACUCUCUGCUUCUAGAAGCUGGAUGUGUUCCUUGUCACGUGCCCCAUUUCCCAUCUUCAUGCCAGCAAUGGCAAAUUGAAUCUGUUUCGUGCUUUGAAUCUGGCUUCUCUUUCUGCCCCCAUUUAUAGAAAACUCUCUGCUUUUUAAGGGCUCAGGGGCACCCAGAUAAUCUUAUUUUAAGGUCAACUAUGACAUAACAUAAUUGUUCCAGGGUUUAGGGAAUGGGAUACUGGGGGGAGUGGGUGGUGCAUUUUCAGUUCUCUGCCUGCUACAGUCCUGGGGAUUAUACAGGGCAUGUAUAGCACCACAGAGACAGUGGCAGAAAGCAAGCUGUCAGAGUCUUCCCAGCUGCUUAGCUUAGCUAGUCAUAGGGACAAAAGGAAGAGCUGAAUCAUGAUUAGACAGUAACACUUACUGGAGGAGAAGUAGAGGAUGGAUGUGAAGGUUCCUGACUUGUUACCUUCCCUUCAACUUUACCCCCCAGUUUUAAUCAUCAUAUACUUUCUUUCUGAAAGCCACAUGUAGAUCUCUCUGCUAGGAGGAGGUAUAACAUAUCUGUCCCACCUGUUUUAAAGGAAGCAAUGUCCAGGCACUUUGAGGUAUGUUGGAGCCUCCAUGUCCUGUAUUGCUGGAGCCCUGAUAAACCAUAGAGAUGGGAGUCCCCAUGAAUGGCUUCCUAACAGGCCACUGGGGCCAGUUCUGCUGGUUCCUCUGGGCCAAGGAGCUUCCUCAGUGUGCAGGAGGAGCACCCUCCCCUGCCUGUAGCAGACUUCACUCCCUCUAGGUUACCUGCCUUUUGAACCCUUUCUUUCCCCACACUUGCAUGCCAAUCUCCCAAUACUCAGCUCAAAAUCCAUUGUGGCUCUUGCUCUCCCUGGGAACACACCUUUCAUGUGCCAAUUACUGAACCUUUGCUCACCAAGCUUUGUGUUCCCUAAAGUGCCAAAUCCCCUUUCUCUUUAUUGCCUCUGUUGUUUACUUGAGAGAUUUCUUUUAGCUGAAUCAUAUUUUUAACCUUAACAAACGUAUAAAGGAAACUUCUAUCACUAUCAUAUGUGGAAAAUCUGAAUUACCUGCCAUAUAUAGGUGUUAACUCUAAAAGAAAAAGAAAAAAAACAAAAAGGAAAGAAAAAUUCUUAGUCACUUGUGGUCUCUAACCUGACAUAGCAGAGUGAUUCUCAAAAGGCUCCUUUCUUCCUCUCUGACUGUCCCCAGGGGCAUUUUUAUUACAAUUCCUAACUCUUUUUCUGUUUGUUUUUGUUGUGUUGUGUUUUGAGCUAAGGGGCUACAAUGCAGUUAUAUUACAGGCCACGUGUUGAAGCUUGGCGAGCGGCAUGUACCCCAAACUACUUUGCCUCUUCCUUCCCAUCCCCACCCCUCUUCAGUGUGCUACCUAAAGUCAUCCCCCAUACCACCAGAGAUGUGCAAUCCACAGUUCAGAAAACACAGACCCCACUUUCUUCUUCCCAGAGACCCACCUCAAAUUCCUCUCCCUCUAAGAAACCAAUACAGUGAUCAGUGAUCCCCUCAACUGCAUUCAUAAGGCUACUGUGUCUAAUUAUUCAAAUGUUGCUGUGUGACAUUUCAUUAAGGACAAAGACCAUGCUUUAUACUAAGUUUUCCCACAGCAUUUGGUAUGCUACCUGGCAAACAGCAGGCAUUCAGUGAAUAUUUGUGGUUUGAUGAGCAGCAAGGGUCAGCUCUGGGUAAGAGUGUAAAGCAGAGUUUGACUUAGGUUCCUCUCCUACCUUGGGCUGCUUCAGUCACAGAAGGGCCAUGGACUGUGGUUCUCCUCUGAGGCAUUUUCUCCUUUCUCAAUAAGUUCCCUGUGUGUCCUGAUUUUUCUGUCUCCCCAAAUCACACUUUGUGUGCUGUGUCUGAUUAUCUCGUUGACUAAUUAGCUAAGACAUUUGGUGUUUGCCACUAGAUCUUGCAUUGCUUAAUUCUGUCUUGUAAAUAUUUUUUGUAUCCUCUAUCACACUGAAGACCACAUAUACAUAGUAGAUGCUCAAUAGAUAUUUGUUGUAUAAAUAAAUGAAUGCAUGUUUUAUUGUUUGUGUCUUGGAGUGUCCCUGAUAUAUCUUCAGGAAAAAAUACGAAGUCCUCAAACUAAUUCAUAUAACAUUGGUCAAGGGGAUUUACUAAGUUUUUUAACAAGUAUGGAAAAGCUUUGUAGUUUUGACUCAGAACAAUAAAAAUGAAAUCUUCCCUCUGCCUUUCCUCCCUCUUUUGGCCACUAGGCCAAUUUAGAUGUUCCUUUCAAGUAGCAAUUUAAGUCUCUUUAGCUUUACACGAAGCUUAUAUUUCCUUCUCUGUACCCCCAAGCAAUUUACACAUACUUAUUAUCCAAACCUGGACAUACUGAGAACGAAAGUGGGCACAAAUAACUAUUAAGCCAGGACAAGAAGUGUCCCUGACAAACAAGGAAGUACAGUCAUACUACUUUGAGAGCAGUUAUUUGCUAACUGUAUGUCGCUUUUCAUUUAACUGUAAAGCCAUUCUAGGUCUGGGCCUUAUUUCUCUUAGCUUCCUUUGUUACCUAGAACUGUGCCUGGCACAUAGUGGUGGUAGAAGAAAUGUUAGUGCUGUUUUAAAAAUGUUCAUUUAAUUGCAUAUAAUACUACCUUGAUGUAGAAUUCAAACAAUCCCAUUUGGGGCCUAUUAUGAGCCAUUUUCUCAGUAUUACAAAUAUAGGGCAAUGAGCUUAAUUAUAUGCUUGUGUAAUGAUAAUAGCUAGCAUUUACCAGCACUGAGCAUGUGCCAGGCCCAGGGCUAAGAACUCUGCUUGAGUUCUCUCACUGAUUUCUUCCAACAACUCUUGGAGAUAAGUACUGCUAUGGUCCCAUUAAAUGAGAAGAAAAGACAGGUUUAGAAGAUUAAUAACCUUGGUCAGGAUCACCCAGCUAAUUCUGUGUCAGAGUUUGAACUCCAGGCUCUGACCCUAUACACCAUCUCCCCUAUAUGUGAUAAGUAGCUGGUACUGAAUUUUGGAAAGUAGUUAAAAAAAUAAUAGUAUACUUUUAGGAAAAAUCCAUUUGCUGUAAACAUUUUAAAGGAAAACUUAACUAAGUAAGAGAUUGCAUAAUCAGGCAAGUGUGAUAGCUGUGUGAGCUCGUGAGUAGUGAUAGCAGUUGCUUAGACCAACACAUUGUUUGCUGUUGUCCUUGAUGUUGGUUAAUGUUUCCAUUUGUUAAGUUACAAAUAUGCCAUGUUAGUUUUGUUGAGAUCAUUCUCUUGUUGGUGGGCUAGUAAGGUGCAAGACAUUUUAUUUUGUACUGUAACAGUUGCAUUUAACUUUAGCAGUAUGUGGUUGAAUUAUGAACGGUGACUAUUUUCUACUCUGUCCUUUUGAGAGAAGUUUUUACUUGGUAACAAUUUUAAGGACAGUACAGACACAUCAUAAUAUUGAGUCCAGAAAAAUUAUUAUGUGGUAUUAUUACAAUUAUUGUAAUUAUUAAUUACAAACCAUAUUUUUUAAUCCUUUUUGUUGUUGUUAAAUUUAUUUAUUUUUGGCUGUGUUGGGUCUUUGUUACUGCGCACGGGCUUUCUCUAGUUGUGGCAAGCAGGGGCUACUACUCUUUGUUGUGGUGCGCAGGCUUCUCAAUGUGGUGGCUCCUCUUGUUGCAGAGCAUGGGCUCUAGGCGCGUGGGCUUCAGUAGUUGUGGGAUAUGGGCUCAGUAGUUGUGGCUCACAGGCUCUAGAGUGCAGGCUCAGUAGUUGUGGCACAUGGGCUUAGUUACUCUGCGGCAUGUGGGAUCUUCUUGGACCAGGGUUUGAACCCAUGUCCGCUGCAUUGGCAGGUGGAUUCUUAAACACUGUGCCACCAGGGAAAUCCCCCAAACCAUAUUUUUACAUUACUGAAAUAUAAAGUCAAUAGCUUUUAAAAAUAAAAGCAGGCUAUUGAAUUUUAUAUAAAAAUAAUUAUAUAUAAAAUUAAAUAAAAGCAGUCUAUUGAAUUUUAUAUAAAAAUAAUCCAGAUUGUAAGGGAUCAUCUGUAACCUUAAAUAGUUUUAAAUCAGAAAGGAUAAAUUAAGUAUGUAAAGAGACUAUGCUAUAAGUAUUAUACUGAACAAAUAACUAUAUGCACAGACUUUCAUACAAAACGUAUCCUUUGAUUGAAUGGAAUUGUCUUCUUAAUUGACUUUUUUUUUCUACUGGCAAGAGGUAUGUAGGAAUAGCUAUAGCAACUGAAAUUAGAUAUUAUUAAGGUAUUCAAUCAUAUGUGAUAUGUUAUAAACAAAAUAUGAAAAAUCUGGAAAUAAAUGUUUACGUAAUGAAUACUAACUUUUAUGAAUAAAUGAUAGGAAAUGUUAUUACUUAAGGCAUUCACACAAGAUGACUACAUUUGUAAUUCAAAGGAAGGAUUACAAAUAUAUAUAACAAGUUCAGAAAUUUUCUGGGUUUUUUUUGUCAUAGGACUUAAAAAAUAUUUUUUUUUCUUUUUAUUGAAGUAGAGUUGAUUUACAAUGCUGUGCCAGUCUUGGCUGUGCAACAAAGUGACUCAGUUAUAGACAUAGAGACAUUCUUUUUUUAAUAUUCUUCCAUUAUGGUUUAUCACAGCAUACAGACAUUUUUAGCAUUAAAAUGCCUUUGAGUUUUACACCAGAAAGUUUUCUCUAAUUUAUCAUGUUUGUCUUCUUCAGUGAAAUAGAAUACCAUGAUAGCAAUGGUUAGAAAAACUGCAUUGAAUGUCAAGUUAUCACUGUACUCAGAGUAACCAGAAAAUCAAAAUGCUUAUGUUAUGAUGUAGAUAGGGAUCUUAUGGUUAACUGAUAGAAAUUGGAACCAAGAGGAAGUUUAAAAUAAAAAAUUGGUCAUUUUUUGUUGCUUUGCACUUUUUAUUACCUAGGAGACUUAAAAUUGUUUUCAUUUACUCUAGGCACUUGGGAUACAUCAGCUGAACAAAACACAAAAUCCCAUCUUCUACUGGGGAAGACAGACAUUAAAACAUAAAUAUACAACAGAUAAAUUGUAAAGAUUUUUGCAAGGUUUUAAGUGUCAUGGGAAGAAAAGAAGAAGCAAGUUAGGAAGGACUGAGAGUUGGGUUUGGGGUGGUUACAGUUUUAAAUAGCGUGGUCAGGCUGAGUAUCAUUGUUAAGGUAAGAUUGGAUCAAGGAGUUAAAAGAGGUGAAGGUGGACACCAGGGAAGAAUGUUACCGGCAGAGAAAAAACUCUCACAAAGUCCCUGUCUGGAAUAUACAAGCAACUGGAGUCAGGGAGUAAAGCAAAAGGCAAAUCCAAGGGCUUUGUAGAAACCGUGAAGACCUUUUUUUUUUUUUUUUUAACAUCUUUACUGGAGUAUAAUUGCUUUACAAGGGUGUGUUAGUUGCUGCUGUACAACAAAGUGAAUCAGCUAUACAUAUACAUAUAUCCCCAUAUCCCCUCCCUCUUGCGUCUCCCUAUCCCACCCUUCUAGGUGGUCACAAAGCACCGAGCUGAUCUCCCUGUGCUAUGCGGCUGCUUCCCACUAGCUAUCUAUUUUACAUUUGGUAGUGUAUAUAUGUUAAUGCCACUCUCUCACUUUGUCCCAGCUUACCCUUCCCCCUCCCCGUGUCCUCAAGUCCAUUCUCUAUGUCUGCAUCUUUAUUCCUGUCCUGCCCCUACGUUCCUCAGAACCAUUUUUUUUUUUUUUUAGAUUCCAUAUAUAUGUGUUAGCGUAAGGUAUUUGUUUUUCUCUUUCUGACUUACUUCAUUCCGUAUGACAGACUCUAAGGACCUUAGCUUUUACAGUUUAGGAAAUGGGGAGGCAAUGGAAGAUUUUGACCAGAUGAGACAGGAGCUGACUUUUUUUGUAGGAGGAUAUUCUGAUUGUUGUUUUGAUAAUAGACUGCGUUAAUGGUGGGCAGGUAGACCAUUUAGUAGGCCACCGAAGUAUACUCGAGGCCAGAGCAGAUGAAAAGUGAUUCAGGGGAGAAGUGGUCUGAUUCUGGUUUAUUUUGAGGGCGCAACCAACAGACAUGCUUGACAGAAUGGAGGUGAAGAGGAGAGAAUGAGAGGAGCCAAGGAUGACUCCAAGUUUUUGACCUGAGUAACUAACUAGAAGGACUGUGGCAUGGUUUUGAGUUGCUUUUUGAGCAGGGGAGACCUAACUCUAAAUUUAGCGGGAAAAGAAAACUAAUGUUGCACUCAUAUAAUCAAUCAAGACGGGGAAGACGUACUAUAUUAUAUUCCAAGUAUGGUAGGCAUUUUGGUGGAGGGUCUACUGCUAGAUAAGCGCACUCUUAAGUGUUUAUGAUUUCUGGGAUAUAUAAAAUAUACAGGUAAGGGCUCAGAGAUCCAGUAGACGAGUAAUUUCACACAUUUCAAAUGCCACGUGGGUGUUCUCGGCCUUAAGCCAGGUAAUGACGGAUUCAACAAUUCUGACGUUUCCAUUUAAAAAACGGGGGAGGGUGGUUUGGUGAUUUCAGGGCAUCUAUCUCUCAACUACUACUGAGAGACAGCUGGUCCUAAGGCUCAGCCACGACCCUAGCCCGCCUGGGAGCGUUCCCACUUCCAGCGCAGGCGCCGUCUGGGGAGGGGGCGCGAGGUCUUGCUGCCGGCUGCCGGGCUGAGAGUGGGGAGGGGCUCCCGAACGUUCCCACCCAGCCCCGAUCGCCAUCUUCCGGCGCGUUCUUUCCCGCGCGGACUCCAACCCCAGCUCUCUGCCCUCUUCUCGCCGGGGAAGGGGUUUCUAGCCCGCGGAGCUCGCGGGCAGUGCGCGUCGCUGAGAUGCGGAACAGAGUCCACCCCCAAGGCAGGGUACGGGGCGGGGCCGGCGUGGCGGCAGCUGUGCGGCGGCGCGGCCCUCCCGCUGCUCCCGGAGCGCGCGCCGCCUCUUGCCCCGCCUGCGCGCGAGCCAGGGCGUGGAGGGAGGGGCCAGGAAGCGGCGAGCGCGCUGGGGAGCGCAGCUGCGGGCGUGGGGGGACAGCAGCCGCGGAGCCGGCCCCGAGAGCGGCCGCGGCAGGAGCGAGCGGCGGAGACAAAGGCUACAUUUGAUUACCUUGUGUCUCGACGUGUUUCUCCUUUGGUUUCUCCUGCCUGGGACUCUGCACUUCCUGGACUUUGGUGGCUAUUUCCUUUCCCAUGUUAGGUCCAGACUUUUCCCCGGACUCCCUCCCGGCUAGCCUUGGUGCACUAACGCCCUGCAGGCUGUGUUCACGCCACCAACCUCAGUCCUCUCCCGGCACUCCGAUAGAAGCCGGAGCUGAGGCUCCCAGCCCCGCCCGCCCUGGCCGGCGAGCAGACAAGCCUCUCGGCUGGUGAGUGCCGGUCAGCCCCGAUCCUCUGCGCUGGAAUCUCUCCGCUUUGCCCUCUGCACCCCUGUUGCUGUGCUCUCCUCCGCGGCCCCGAAGCUCCCCCACUCCGCCACCCGCAGUCUCCGCCCGCGAAGGGGCUUCCUAGUGUGUGGACACUUUUCCUCCUUCACAGCUCCCUCCCGCUGGUGCAGGACCUGUCCCUAUCCUUUUGUCUCUGUUUAUUUUUUUCUUUUGCCCUAACCAGGUACGUGGGGGGUUCCUUGCCUUUUGGGAGGUCUGAGGUCUUCUGCCAGCAUUCAGUAGGUGAUCCGUAGGAGUUGUUUCACGCGUAGAUGUAUUUCUGGUGUAUCUGUGGGGAGGAAGGUGAUCUCCGCGUCUUACUCUUCCACCUUGUAUUUUUAGUUUUUUAAGGAACCUCCAUACUGUUCUCCAUAGUGGCUAUACUAAUUUACAUUCCCACCAGCAGUGUAGGAGGGUUCCCUUUUCUCCAUACCCUCUCCAGCAGUUGUUGUUUGUAGAUAUUUUGAUGAGGGCCAUUCUGACCCGUGUGAGAUGGUACCUCAUUGUAGUUUUAAUUUGCAUUACUUUAAUAAUUAGUGAUGUUAAGCAUCUUUUCAUGUACUUUUUGGCCAUCUGUGUGUUUUCUUCGGAGGAAUGUCUGUUUAGAUCUUCUGCCGUGUUUUUUGUUUAUUUUCAAAGCUUUCCCUGCAUCCCAUCCUUCUUUUUUUAAAAUAUUUUUUGGAGUAUAAUUGCUUUACAAUGUUGUGUUAGUUUCUAUUGUACAGCACAGUGAAUCAGUAUAAGUAUACAUGUAUCCCCAUAUCCUCUCUGUUUUUUUUUUUUAAGAUAUUUAUUUAGUUAUUUACUUAUGGCAGUGUUGGGUCUUUGUUGCUGUGCGCGGGCUUUCUCUAGUUGCAGUGAGCAGGGGCCUCUCUUCGCUGCGGUGUGCGGGCUUUUCGUUGCGGCGGCUUCUCUUGUUGUGGAGCAUGGGCUCUAGGUGCACGAGCUUCAGUGGUUAUGGCAUGUGGGCUCUCAGUAGUUGCAGCUCACGGGCUCUAGAGCACAGGCUCAGUAGUUGUGGCGCAUGGGCUUAGUUGCUCCGUGGCAUGUGGGAUCUUCCUGGACCAGGGCUUGAACCCAUGUCCCCUGCAUUGGCAGGUGGAUUCUUAACCACUGCGCCACCAGGGAAGUCGCCCCCUCCCUCUUGAGCCUUCCUCCCAUCCUCCUUAUCCCACCCCUCUGGGUGGUCACAAAGCACUGAGCUUAUCUCCCUGUGCUAUGCAGCAACUUCCCACUAGCCAUCCAUUUUACAUCUGGUAGUUAUGUAUGUGAAUGCUACUCUCUCAGUUCGUCCCAACUUCCCUUUCCCCCACUGUUUUCUCAAGUCUGUGGUCUACAUCUGCAUCUUUAUUCCUGCCUUCCCACUAGGUAUAUCAGUACUGCUUUUUUAGUUUCCAUAUAUUUGUGUUAUUGUACGGUAUUUGUUUUUCUGUUUCUGACUCACUUCACUCUGUAUGACAGACUCUAGGUCCAUCCACCUCACUGCAAAUAGCUCAAUUUUGUUGCUUUUUAUGGUUGAGUAUUAUUCCGUUAUAUGUAUGUGCCACAUCUUCUUUAUGCAGUUAUCUAUGGACAUUUCUGCACAUUUUUUCAUUGGGUUGUUUGUUUUUUUCAUAUUGAGCUGCAUGAGCUUUUUGUAUAUUUUGGAGAUUAAUCCCUUAUCGGUUACUUCAUUUGCAAAUAUUUUCUCCCAUUCUGUGGGUUGUCUUUUUGUUUUGUUUAUGGUUUCCUUUGCUGUGUAAAAGCUUUUAAGUUUAAUUAGGUCCCAUUUGUUUGUUUUUAUUUUCAUUACUCUAGGAGACAGGUCAAAAAAGAUCUUGCUGUGGUUUAUGUCAGAGAGUAUUCUGUGUAUUUUUUUCUCUUAACUGGUUCAUAUUAUCCGGCCUUACAUUUAGGUCUUUAAUCUACUUCAAGUUUAGUUUUUUAUUUUUUGUGGUACACGGGCCUCUCACUGUUGUGGCCUCUCCCGUUGCGGAGCACAGGCUCCGGACGCACAGGCUCAGCAGCCGUGGCUCACGGGCCUAGCUGCUCCGUGGCACGUGGGAUCUUCCUGGACCGGGGCAUGAACCCGUGUCCCCUGCAUCGGCAGGCGGACUCUCAACCACUGCGCCACCAGGGAAGCCCCGAGUUUAUUUUUGUGUACGGUAUUAGGGAGUGUUGUAAUUUCAUUCUUUUACAUGUAGCUGUCCAGUUUUCCCAGUACCACUUAUUGAAGAGACUGUCUUUUCUCCAUUGUAUAUUCUUGCCUCCUUUGUCAUAGAUUAGGUGACCAUAGGUGCUUGGGUUUAUUUCUGGAGUUUCUAUCCUGUUCUACUGAUCUAUAUUUUUGUCUUUGUACUGGUACCAUACUGUUUUGAUUUGUGUAGCUUUGUAGUAUAGUCUGAUGUCAGGGAGCCUGAUUCGUCCAGCGCUGUUUUUCUUUCUCAAGAUUGCUUUGGCUAUUUGGGGUCUUUUGUGUUUCCAUACAAAUUGUAAAAAUUUUUGUUCCAAUUCUUUGAUGAAAUUAGGCAGUGCAUAUUUUGAACUUGAAAUACUGUGUCAGAGUUCAUUGCAAAAAAUAAACACUGCUUGCCAAAAAUCCUGACCCUGUGGGUUGUGCUUAUUCACGUUAAAGGAAAAUGUUGCUAUAGAACUUGUUAGUUCUCAUUGUCAACCAGCUAGAUUCGGUAUGUUUUCUUGUCAGAAAUGAUCUUUCUUCUUUUUCAGGUUUUUUUUUUCUUUUUUUGUGGCUGCGUUGGGCCUUUGUUGCUGCGCAUGGGCUUUCUCUAGCUGUGGGGGGGUGGCUACUCUUUUUGUGGUGCGUGGGCUUCUCGUGACUUCUCUUGUUGCAGAGCAUAGGCUUUAGUAGUUUUGGUGCACGGGCUCAGUAGUUGUGGUGCACGGAUGUAGUUGCUCUGAGGCAUGUGGGAUCUUCCCGGACCAGGGAUCAAACCCAUGUCCCCUGCAUUGGUAGGCGGAUUCUUAAUCACCGCACCACCAGGGAAGUCCCUUCUUUUUCAAUUCUAAAAUGACAGCAUCUGCAUUGAACAACCAUUGGACUAACUACUUUCACUUCUGAAUUCAAACAUUAAUUGGUUCAUUAGGUAAGGAGUCUUGCCAUGAGUUAGUUUCAGUAUUUCGUGCUUUGCUUACAUGAGACUCCUCCUCAUCCUCCCAGUUAUCCCUUUGGUGCACUGGAGAUUUCUUGAAGCAAAGUACCUUACUAAGCUUUGAGAUGAGUUAGAAGUAUGACUUUCUUCUAUAACGUAUAAGAGCUAUUGUGAAAGGGAAGGUAGAAAAAGGGAAUGAAUGAUGCCCAUCAGUUUUAGAAAAGAGUACAGGAGGAAGUUGGAGAUAUGGAAUUUGAUUUCCUGAAACUGUCCAGACCCAGGUACCUCCUGCAAAAUAUCAAACCUUACACUGGUUUGAAGACCCUUGAGUUAGGGGAACAGCAUAUCUUCUGCUUUAAUUGGUAUUGUGCAUUAAUCCUUCUAAGUAAAUUAUCUCAUUUACUUUUAAAUUUUGCCUUGAAAGCUUUGUUUGACAAAUUUAUAACUGACCUUUAUGAUGAAAUAGAGUGGUUUUUACAGGAGUCCAUGAACCAAUGAACAUAGUAAUCAGAACCUCUUGGAAGUGAUUAUUAAAAUAGAAGAAUUAGAAAAAAGGGAAAUGAUCUUUACCUCACACUUGACACCAAGAUAAAUAUUUGGUUUUCCAGAGUUGAGUAUAAAAGAGAAAACCUUAAACACAUUAGAAGGAAACAUGGAUCAAUAUAAAGACUCUUGGGUGUGGGGAAAGCCUUCAUAAGCAGUCCAACACAAUUAUUUUUUCAUUUAUAAAGUCUCCAAGGCUUUCCUCGUGGCACAGUGGUUAAGAAUCUGCCUGCCAAUGUAGGGGACACGGGUUCGAGCUCUGGUCCAGGAAGAUCCGACAUGCCGCGGAGCAACUAAGCCCGUGUGCCACAACUACUGAAGCCUGCUCGCCUAAAGCCCGUGCUCUGCAACAAGACAAGCCAACCGCAAUGGGAAGCCCGCGCACCGCAACGAAGAGUAGUCCCUGCUCACCGCAACUAGAGAAAGCCCACGCACAGCAAUGAAGACCCAACACAGCCAAAAAUAAAUAAAUAAAUUAAAAAAAAUAAAAGAAGUCUCCAAAUUAUUGUUAUAUACCUGUGUUUUAAAAAAAUGUGAAGUAUUAUCUUUUUCAGUAAUCCAAUUUUGAAAUGCAUGUAAGAUUAACAUUUACAUCUAAGUUAUCUUGCAGUUUCUUUUUUUUAACAGGUUUUAACAUUUUUUAAGAUUUUUUUUUAGGUAUCUAUCUGUGUAUCUGUGUAUCUGUCUACCUAUGCCGGGUCUUACUUGUGGCACGCAGGAUCUUCGUUGCUGUGUGUGGGAUCUUUAGUUGUGGCAUGUUUUAGUUGUGGCAUGUUUUAGUUACGGCACGCAAACCCUUAGUUGGGACAUGUGGGAUCUAGUUCCCUGACCAGGGAUUGAACCUGGGUGCCCUGCAUUGGGAGUGCAGAGUCUUAGCCACUGGACCACCAGGGAAGUCCCAUCUUGCAGUUUCAUAUAUCAUCUUUUCCCUUCUGCUCUUCAGCACAAAGAACCCUACAAAGUGCUCUUGCAAUAAAUAUGACCUAGUACCCAUGAACCUUCCUAAUGAUUCCUUUGCUAAGUUUAGGGGUUAUUUGGCUUUUGGUCGCAGACAUGGUUGGUUGUACUUGUGCAGAAAUGGGUAGAAUUAAAGUUGUUAGGAAAUCAGUCUGCCAUGUUCUCUUGGAACAAACUAUUGACUACCAAGCUUCUUUAAAAUGGAGAUCUUCAUACUGAAUAAUAAUAAUAUGUAUACUUAAAAAUUUGAAUGUUGAAUAGUUGAACACAUAGAGAUUUUUAUAGUACAAGUUGCAGACUUGACAGAUUUUUUUUUAAAGUAUUUACUUAUUUUUUGGGCUGUAUUGGGUCUCAGUUGCGGCACGCAGGAUCUUUCGUUGCUGUGUGCGGGCUCCUUGUUGUGGCAUGCGGGCUUCUCUGUAGUUGUGGUGUGGGCUCCAGAGCGUGUGGGCUCUGUAGUUGCGGUACGUGGGCUCCAGAGUACGUGGGCUCUGUAGUUGCGGCAUGCGGGCUUAGUUGCCCUGCGGUACAUGGAAUCCCAGUUCCCUGACCAGGGAUUGAACCCACGUCUCCCACAUCGGAAGGCAGAUCCUUAACCACUGGACCACCAGGGAAGUCCCCAGACUUGUCAGAUUUUAAUAAUCUAAAAAUGAGUAAGAACCUAUUUUCCUUUUGUUCUUAUUUUUCUUUAAAGUAUUCCCCCCUGCCCAUCCCCAAUGAACAAUUUGUCAGUGACUGUUUUACUUCUGGCCCUAGUGUGCCAGGGCCCAAUUGAAAUGCAGAGUGAUUUCUCUGCAAGAGAAUGACACAAUUUACCACAUCUUAAUUCCUUAUGAAGGUAGUUGGGACAAAUGAAACAUGUACUUUCUCAAGAUAAGUUGAAAUUUCAGCCCUCUCUGUAUUUAUCAGAAAUAAUACCAUACUGAGUCACACUCUCAUGACUGAAAAAGCACAGCUGGUAGGAGAAGUUGCAUGUUAAUGAUGUUGUUAGUGUAGGAGGGCCACUACAUAUAAGGAAGCAGAGACUCAGUUAAGUACCUGCUCUUUGGGUUAAUAUUCAGAAGGACCAGGAAACAUUAUCCUUGGUCAAAUAGGCUAAAUUAAAUUGAGACACUGGAGGGUUCACAGGGUAUAUCAAAUCUGGAUCAAACUAAAAUGUAACAGUCUCAUUUGACACAAUAUAGAAAAUUAAUACAAAAUAAAAAGGACAAAUUACUGAUCAGUUUGAGAACUAUGGCUUAUGUUGCCUUGAAGGGAAGAUGUAUUGUACUUUUUAGUUAUGUAUAUUUUUCUUUUGUGGGAUUAAAUAAAGGCAUUGAGUUAUUCAAUAAAUACUUAACUGCUCUCACUAUGUGCCAGGCACUCAGGUAUUAGGCGUUUGGCUGCAAACGAAAACAAAAAUCUGUCUCUUCAUAAAACCCUAUGUUCUUACUGGUGAAGAAAAAUAAUAAGUGAGUAAUGUAUAUACAGAAUGCCAAAAAAAUUUAAAGCACUGUGAGGAAAAAUAAAGCAUGGGAGCAAGAUGGGGACUGCCAGGCUAGGGAACAGGGGAUUGCAGUUUUAAAUAGGAUGGCAAAGAAAGGACUCAAUGAAAAGACAAUAAAAAGCCAUUACAGCAUCAUUUGUGAUAAAGAUAAAUACUGGCAGCAACCCAGAUAUCCAUCUCUAUGAGAUUGGUUGAAUAUAUUAUGCAUCUAUAUAGUGAAAUGCUGUACAAUAAUAAGUCCUACAUAUACAGAAUGAUCUCCAAAAAUUAGUGAAGUGAUAGAAACAAGGUGCAGAAUGAUACACAGAAUAUGUUACCAUUGAUGUCUAUCACAUACAUGAUAUAUUUUCCUAAAUGCAUGGAAUCUCAGUGGAAAGAUAUAUAAAAAAACUGUUAAUAAUGGUUGUCUUUGGAGUGAAGGGUGAUUUGUGGACAGGGAGUGAGGAUGAAACUUUAUAUCUCAUUUUACUAUGUGUUACGACGUCAGAAUAAGUAAGUAAGAUGUAAAAUAAGAACAUGGAAAAUUGUCAAAUUAGAAAAUGAUGGAAAAGCACAUACAUUCAUAAAACCUAGUGGCCUAGAUAGCCGUCUAGCCUAGGUAGUGAAUAAAUGGGAUAGUUAAUAGAAACAUGGACUCACUUCUGAUGAGCUGGAGACCUUGUUGACAGUGACUGUUCCAGAGCAAGGCCAAAAUCCUGUUUUGUUUGCGUAGUGGGUUGUAGUGAUCAUGACUGUAACGUUUAGAUUUGUCUGACUUUUUUCACUCUUCUAAUCAAAUGGAAGCUGUAUUCAUUUCGUAGGGCUUCUACAAUGAAGUACCACAGAAACUUGCCUCAUAGUUCUGGAGGCUAGAAGUCCAAAAUCAGGGUGUCAUCAGGGCCAUGUUCCUCCUGAAACCUGUAGCAGAAUCCUUCCUUGCCUCUCCCUAGGUUCUGGUGGUUUGCUGGCAAUCCUUGGCAUUCCUGGGCUUGCAGGUGCAUAAUCCAAUCUCUGAUUUGUCAUCAUGUGGUUUUCUCUGUUUGUCUCUGUGUCUUCUUCACAAUGCCAGCUUCUCAUAACGACACUGAUCAUAUUGGAUUUAGAGGCCCACCCUACUCCAGUAUGACCUCAUUUUAACUAAUAUCUGCAACAACCCUAUUUCCAAAUAAGGUCACAUUCAGAUGUCCUGGGGGGUUAGGACUUCAACAUAUCUUUUUUUGAGGGGUGGGAGAGAGAAUGGGACACAGUUCAACCCAUAACAGGCUUUCCAGUUUAAAUUGCUUCCCUAUUACAGCCUUUCAUAUAUGUAGAAGUGUUUUGGAAAGUUGUAUAGAAAGAUACAAGUUUAGUUUAUUUUUAAAAACUCUUACUAUAAAAGUUUUUCUUAUGGGGAGAAAAAACCAUCCCACCUCCCUGAAUAAAAUCAUACUGAAGAGUGCAACAUAUUUAUUAAAGCUGAUGUUUUAGUGAAAAUAAUUUUUUUUCUCUCUAAAUAUUGUGAAAGGAGAGUAUGGGCAUUGUAAGUAGAAAUGAGUUAAACAUGAUAGUGAGUUACUAAUUUAGACAUUUUAUGUGCUUUUUAAAAAAUAAGAAUACCUUAUAUUCUCUUUUUGCAUUUUUAUUCUCACUCCUGAGGAAAUAGCUUCCUUUCCAGAUCAGUUUAACCUCAAGGUACAGCAGAGAGGACAAAGUCUUCUAUUUUUCACCCCAUUCUUCUCAGUAGUUUUUCUUCUUGUACUCAUAGCCAUUACAAUUCUGUGAAACAUUAGUAAACUUAAAUCUUUAAAAUUCUCCCUUGCCUUUCCCUUUUCCUCAUGUAUAAAUCAGAAACCAAAUAUUUGUUAGUCUUCAAAGUCGUUUUAAAAGUUAUUAUAUCCUAAACUUUUUCGUUGCAGCGCGCAGGCUUCUCUUUAGUUGUGGCAUGUGGGUUUUCUCUUCUCUAGUUGUGGCGCACGGGUUUUCUCUUCUCUAGUUGUGGUGCACAGGCUCCAGGGUACGUGGACUCUGUAGUUGAGGCACGUGGGCUCUGUAGUUGGUGGCACUUGAGCUCUCUAGUUGAGGUGCGCGAGCUCAGUAGUUGUGGCAUGUGGGCUUAGUUGCCCUGUGGCAUGUGGGAUCUUAGUUCCCUGACCAGGGAUUGAACCCACAUCCCCUGCAUUGUAAGGCGGAUUCUUUACCACUGGACCAUCAGGGAAGUCCCUGUAUACGUAUUUUAAAAUGUCCUCUGACUUGCUGAGAAAAUUACUCUCAUAAUGUUAUAUCACAUUUUAAACCCAUUCCCCUUCUGAU